UCUGCAGUGCCAUCAGCAACAAUAUCUGCAGGACCAUCAGCAUCGCAUCAAGAAUUCCUGCAAUAUCGCUGCCAGCACCCAGGUCCAAUAUCUCCAAGAGCUUUUUACCGAUGGAGUUUUUCUUUUUCUAUGAUAUCUGUUUAAUGUCUAAUAUAUGCACUAUACACCUAUUAAUCUCUUUACAUUAUUCUCUUUAGAUAUAUUAUAAAAUAGUAUUUAAAUCAGUUGUCAGCCACAUGUGGUCUAUAUGAUGUAACAUGUUUGCAAUUGUUGGCAUGUCAUUUAAAAAUUUCAAUGCUGAUAAAACUGAAUUUAAAAAAAAAAAAAGAGUAUUUCCAGCCUUCCAACCAAAUAUUAGAGACUUUUACAAAAGCACUCUCACAAAAUAAUGCUUUUAUAAUCAAUUUAAAAGUCUUUCAAAUCGUUAAUCAUUUUCUAAAGGCGAAGAAGAAGAAUUAUCAAUCUUCAUACUAUUUAAUAAAGCUAUUUUAAUAAAACGCAAUAAAAAUUGUUGUAAAUUAGUAUUUGAAUAAUUUUCACGUUGCUACCUUAUUUUGCAGUUUCCUAUCACUUUGUAUUGAAUUAAUUAAAUCCAAUAUUACAGUUCCUUAUAUCAAGUA